GCUCGUAUGGUGUAAUGGUUAGCACUCAAGACUCUGAAUCUUGCGAUCCGGGUUCAAAUCCCGGUAUGAGCU
rnacentral:tRNA from 1 species